rnacentral:rRNA from 1 species
ACGGGAGGCAGCAGUGGGGAAUAUUGCACAAUGGGCGCAGCCUGAUGCAGCGACGCCGCGUGGGGGAUGACGGCCUUCGGGUUGUAAACUCCUUUCGCUAGGGACGAAGCUUUUUGUGACGGUACCUAAAUAAGAAGCACCGGCUAACUACGUGCCAGCAGCCGCGGUAAUACCUAAGGUGCCGGCAUUGUCCCGAAAUACUGGGCGUA